AUACGUAGGGGGCGAGCGUUAUCCGGAAUUACUGGGCGUAAAGAGUGCGUAGGUGGCUUUGCAAGCGUAGGGUAUAAGGCGACAGCCCAACUGUCGUUGGCCCCGCGAACUGUAAGGCUUGAGUACAGGAGGGGAAGGCGGAAUUCCUAGUGUAGCGGUGAAAUGCGUAGAUAUUAGGAGGAACACCAGUGGCGAAGGCGGCCUUCUGGACUGUAACUGACACUGAGGCACGAAAGCGUGGGUAGCAAACAGGAUUAGAUACCCUGGUAGUCCACGCCGUAAACGAUGAGCACUAGGUGUCGGGCUCGCAAGAGUUCGGUGCCGGAGCAAACGCAUUAAGUGCUCCGCCUGGGGAGUACGCACGCAAGUGUGAAACUCAAAUGAAUUGGCGGGG
rnacentral:rRNA from 1 species